CGGGGUGAGUAAUGUCUGGGAAACUGCCUGAUGGAGGGGGAUAACUGCUGGAAACGGUAGCUAAUACCGCAUAACGUCGCAAGACCAAGAGGGGGACCUUCGGGCCUCUUGCCAUCGGAUGUGCCCAGAUGGGAUUAGCUAGUAGGUGGGGUAACGGCUCACCUAGGCGACGAUCCCUAGCUGGUCUGAGAGGAUGACCAGCCACACUGGAACUGAGACACGGUCCAG
rnacentral:rRNA from 1 species